rnacentral:rRNA from 1 species
CAGUCGCCGCGGUAAUACGUAGGUCCCGAGCGUUGUCCGGAUUUAUUGGGCGUAGAGGGAGCGCAGGCGGUCAGGAAAGUCUGGAGUAAAAGGCUAUGGCUCAACCAUAGUGUGCUCUGGAAACUGUCUGACUUGAGUGCAGAAGGGGAGAGUGGAAUUCCAUGUGUAGCGGUGAAAUGCGUAGAUAUGUGGAGGAACACCAGUGGCGAAAGCGGCUCUCUGGUCUGUCACUGACGCUGAGGCUCGAAAGCGUGGGUAGCGAACAGGAUUAGAUACCCGCGUAGUCCCUGUCUCUUAUACA